UACAGAGGUCCCAAGCGUUGUUCGGAUUCACUGGGCGUAAAGGGUGCGUAGGUGGUGAGGUAAGUCGGAUGUGAAAGCUCCGAGCUCAACUCGGAAAUGGCAUUGGAAACUACCUUGCUCGAGGGUUUGAGGGGGGACUGGAAUACUUGGUGUAGCAGUGAAAUGCGUAGAUAUCAAGUAGAACACCAGUGGCGAAGGCGAGUCCCUGGACAGGUCCUGACGCUGAGGCGCGAAAGCUAGGGGAGCAAACAGG
rnacentral:rRNA from 1 species